rnacentral:rRNA from 1 species
GACGAACGCUGGCGGCGUGCUUAACACAUGCAAGUCGAACGGAAAGGCCCUGCUUUUGUGGGGUGCUCGAGUGGCGAACGGGUGGGUAACACGUGAGUAACCUGCCCUUGACUUUGGGAUAACUUCAGGAAACUGGGGCUAAUACCGGAUAGGAGCUCCUGCUGCAUGGUGGGGGUUGGAAAGUUUCGGCGGUUGGGGAUGGACUCGCGGCUUAUCAGCUUGUUGGUGGGGUAGUGGCUUACCAAGGCUUUGACGGGUAGCCGGCCUGAGAGGGUGACCGGCCACAUUGGGACGGAGAUACGGCCCAGACUCCUACGGGAGGCAGCAGUGGGGAAUAUUGCACAAUGGGCGGAAGCCUGAUGCAGCAACGCCGCGUGCGGGAUGACGGCCUUCGGUUUGUAAACCGCUUUCGCCUGUGACGAAGCGUGAGUGACGGUAAUGGGUAAAGAAGCACCGGCUAACUACGUG